rnacentral:rRNA from 1 species
AAUCAACGCUGGCGGCGUGCCUAACACAUGCAAGUCGAGCGCGAAAGCGGGGUAACUCGCAAGUAGAGCGGCGAACGGGUGAGUAACGCGUGGGUGAUCUACCUCCGAGUGGGGAAUAACACCGGGAAACCGGGUGCUAAUACCGCAUGACAUCCUCGGAUCGACACUGGGGAUCAAAGCCGGGGACCGCAAGGCCUGGCGCUUGGAGAGGAGCCCGCGUCCGAUUAGCUAGUGGCGGGGUAACGGCCCACCAAGGCGACGAUCGGUAGCCGGCCUGAGAGGGCGGACGGCCACGAACUGGGACUGAGACACGGCCAGACUCCUACGGGAGGCAGCAGUGGGGAAUUUUUCGCAAUGGGCGCAAGCCUGACGCAGCGACGCCGCGUGGGUGAUGAAGGCC